rnacentral:lncRNA from 1 species
GUGCUAACCAGGUGUUUCUUUGAAAUUGCAAUAUUCUUGUUAUGUAAUUGGCACUGGUGUCUGGCAUGUUCCAGUGUGGCUGGCUUCACAGCUGUUUACAUAUUAAAGUGCCAUGUUUGCAUUUACUACUACUGUUCCAGCAACUCAGUGAGUAAGAUUUACACGGCGGGGGGAGGACCAGAAGAAUCCUUGGUAUCAGAGAGAACGGCA